GGGGAGAUAAGUUAAAGUUUAUUAAACUAUGUGGCUCAUGCUCACAAAACAUGCGUAGCAUUCUUCCUU
rnacentral:tRNA from 1 species